rnacentral:rRNA from 1 species
UUCCGGUUGAUCCUGCCGGAAGUUACUGCUAUCGAGGUUCGACUAAGCCAUGCGAGUCGAAUGUAGCAAUACAUGGCGAACUGCUCAGUAACACGUGGACAACCUGCCCUUAGGACGGGGAUAAACCCGGGAAACUGGGUAUAAUACCCGAUAGGUCUCGAUUGCUGGAAUGCAUCGAGAUUUAAAGCUCCGGCGCCUAAGGAUGGGUCUGCGGUCUAUCAGGUAGUAGUGGGUGUAGCGUACCUACUAGCCUACGACGGGUACGGGUUGUGAGAGCAAGAGCCCGGAGAUGGAUUCUGAGACACGAAUCCAGGCCCUACGGGGUGCAGCAGGCGCGCAAACUUUACAAUGCGAGCAAUCGUGAUAAGGAAACCCUGAGUGCCUGUCGAUGCAGGCUGUUCAUAUAUCUAAAUCAUAUGUGAAGAAAGGGCAGGGCAAGACCGGUGCCAGCCGCCGCGGUAAUACCGGCUGCUCGAGUGAUGGCCACUAUUACUGGGUUUAAAGCGUCCGUAGCUUGACUGUUAGGUCU